ensembl:lncRNA
GCGUCCGCGUCUCUGGUCUGGAGAGAAGGCUCCGAAAUCCGUCUGCGCGAAAACAGCGUGGCAGCUGUCCCAUGCCAUAGUCCCAUCACUGGAGAGGCUGAGCCAGCAGCUCCCCAGCGUAGGAGUUCAUUGCCACCCUGCGCAGUAUACUGAGACCCCCACCCAUCUCAGGAAACAGGAGAGCAAGAAAAGAAAGAUGGCAGCUUCGCCCUCGCUGUGGUGCAGCAUCUCUCCUGCAGUGUCCUGUUCAAGACAGGCACACUCCACCCAGGCUUGAGAGGAGGCAAGCAGAUUCUGAGGUGUUGGAGCUGCUGAAAUACCCUAGGAACAGCUAAAGGAUCUCACACAACAUUGCGUGAGGAGGAAAACAUUCAUGCCUGGCUUACAGAUGGUUCUGCACAGUAUGCUGGCAUCAACAGAAAGUGGACAGCUGUAGCCCUAGAGCUCCACUCCAGAGUGGCUCUGGACAGUGGUAGAAGAAAUCUCCCUGGUGGGCCAAAUGCUGAGAGGCACAUUUGUUUGUCCGUUUCGUCUGAACUAGAGAUGGCCAGGAGCAGGGAGCUGUAUGGACUCAUAGGC